rnacentral:rRNA from 1 species
GAUGAACGCUGGCGGCGUGCCUAAUACAUGCCAGUCGAGCGAACGGACGAGAAGCUUGCUUUUCUGAUGUUAGCGGCGGACGGGUGAGUAGCACGUGGAUAACCUACCUAUAAGACUGGGAUAACUUCGGGAAACCGGAGCUAAUAUCGGAUAAUAUUUUGAACCGCAUGGUUCAAAAGUGAAAGACGGUCUUGCUGUCACUUAUAGAUGGAUCCGCGCUGCAUUAGCUAGUUGGUAAGGUAACGGCUUACCAAGGCAACGAUGCAUAGCCGACCUGAGAGGGUGAUCGGCCACACUGGAACUGAGACACGGUCCAGACUCCUACGGGAGGCAGCAGUAGGGAAUCUUCCGCAAUGGGCGAAAGCCUGACGGAGUAACGCCGCGUGAGUGAUGAAGGUCUUCGGAUCGUAAAACUCUGUUAUUAGGGAAGAACAUAUGUGUAAGUAACUGUGCACAUCUUGACGGUACCUAAUCAGAAAGCCACGGCUAACUACGUG